rnacentral:rRNA from 1 species
AAGGGAGCGUAGGUGGAUAUUUAAGUGGGAUGUGAAAUACUCGGGCUUAACUUGGGUGCUGCAUUCCAAACUGGAUAUCUAGAGUGCAGGAGAGGAAAGUAGAAUUCCUAGUGUAGCGGUGAAAUGCGUAGAGAUUAGGAAGAAUACCAGUGGCGAAGGCGACUUUCUGGACUGUAACUGACACUGAGGCUCGGGAGGAA